rnacentral:rRNA from 1 species
AAUCUUUCAACAACGGAUCUCUUGUCUCUCGCAUCGAUGAAGAACGCAGCGACAUGCGAUAAGUAAUAUGACUUGCAGAUUUUCGUGAAUCAUCGAAUCUUUGAACGCUCAUUGCGCCCUCUGGUAUUCAAGAGGGCAUGCCUGUUUGAGCGUCUUUU